GCCCGUGUAGCUCAAUUGGCUAGAGCGUCGGACUUUUAUGCAAUAGAAGGUAUCCGAAGGUCGUGGGUUCGACCCCCACCAUGGGCG